UGUGGGAACCAUGAUAAGGNACUCCCAGUGCUCCUACAUAGUAGGAGCUGUUCAAAUGUGUAAAAAGCAUCUGAUAGGAAGGGCCGGGUAAGACCGGUGCCAGCCGCCGCGGUAACACCGGUGGCCCGAGUGGUGGCCGCUUUUAUUGGGUCUAAAGCGUUCGUAGCCGGUUUGACAAGUCAUCAGGGAAAUUCGGCGGCUUAACCGUCGGGCGUCCAAAUGAUACUGUCAGACUUGGAACUGGGAGAGACUAGAGGUAUUCCUGGGGUAGGGGUGAAAUCCUGUGAUCCUAGGGAGACCGCCGGUGGCGAAGGCGUCUAGUUAGAACAGGUUCGACGGUGAGGAACGAAAGCUGGGGGCACAAACCGGAUUAGAUACCCGGGUAGUCCCAGCCGUAAACGAUGCCAGCUAUGUGUCGGGAGAUCCACGUGUUCUUCCGGUGCCGUAGGGAAGCCGUGAAGCUGGCCACCUGGGAAGUACGGCCGCAAGGCUGAAACUUAAAGGAAUUGGCGGGGGAGUACUACAACCGGUGGAGCUUGCGGUUUAAUUGAUUCCNACCCCCGGAA
rnacentral:rRNA from 1 species